GAUGAACGCUGGCGGUAUGCUUAACACAUGCAAGUCGAGCGGUCACUUCGGUGAUAGGGGCGGAUGGUGUAGGAACGCGUGAGAAUCGGACUUCAUGGCGGGGACAACAGUUAGAAAUGACUGCUAAUACCGGAUGUGCGUUUGUGUGAAAGAUUUAUUUCCUGAAAAAGAGCUCACGUCAGAUUAGCUAGUAGGUGGUGUAAGAGACUACCUAGGCGCCGAUCUGUAGCUUGUCUCAGAGGACGAUCAGCCACACUGGAGCUGGGCCGCGGUCCAGAAUCCUACGGGAUGCAGCAGUGCGGGAUUUUCCGACAUGGGCGAAAGCCUGAAGGAGCACUAACGCGUGAGCGCCGAAGGCUUUUGGGUCGAAAACCUUUUUUCUCAAGGCAGAUCAUGACGGUACUUAAGCAAUAAGCAUCGGCUAACUCUGUG
rnacentral:rRNA from 1 species